GAGUAACGGCUCCACCAAGGCGAUGAUACGUAGCCGAACUGAGAGGUGAUCGGCCACAUUGGGACUGAGACACGGCCCAAACUCCUACGGGAGGCAGCAGUAGGGAAUCUUCCACAAUGGACGCAAGUCUGAUGGAGCAACGCCGCGUGAGUGAAGAAGGCUUUCGGGUCGUAAAACUCUGUUGUUGGAGAAGAAUGGUCGGCAGAGUAACUGUUGCCGGCGUGACGGUAUCCAACCAGAAAGCCACGGCUAACUACGUGCCAGCAGCCGCGGUAAUACGUAGGUGGCAAGCGUUAUCCGGAUUUAUUGGGCGUAAAGCGAGCGCAGGCGGU
rnacentral:rRNA from 2 species